UCGUCCCUCGUACGUCCCUCCCACUUCCGCGUCCUCCCGAAAGCACGCGUUGCUCCGCUCAACGCCUCGAGCAGUCCAGCCCUCUCCACCCAAACCCGCGUAGCCCCUCCUCCUCCACCUCCUCCCAAAUUCCAAACUUCCUCGAGCAGUUCCAAGCCCCCCAAUCCCCCGAUUCCCCAAAUUCACUUCUCCCCCGUGCGGUUCCAACCCCAAAUUCUUGUCAGAGCAGCGGCGGCGUGGGUCAUGGAAGGGGACGAACAACGCCGGAUAGGAGGAGGGAGCGAGAGAUGGGGAAGAUCCAGUAGGUGGCGGUGGCGUGGGGGUGCGAUGGUGAUGCUGGGCGCCGUACGUCGCGCCCCGCACCCAACGCUGACGCGCUGGCCCCACGCACCCCGCACGUCCUGCCUCCCUCGCCCCCUUCCGAUCCAGAUCAAGAACGAGCGCCUCUUCCCCUUCGCAGCCUGCAGGGGCGUUGCUGCCCUCCGGCCGCCGCCCUCGCGCGCCACACUGCCGCCUCCUCCUCGUCUGCCCGCCGCACCGUCACGGAGACGCGACGCCGACAUGGGCGGGGUGACGUCCACCAUCGCCGCGCGCUUCGCCUUCUUCCCGUCCACGCCGCCGUCCCCUAAUCCCCGAGAUCUCUUGGGUCCCUGCACGCCGCCGUAGGCGGGAUGGCAGCGGGGACUCCUCGUCCAGCGUCGCCCAGGAAGAGGACGGCACGGAGGUGGUGCGCCUCCGCACGGGUCGCGGGAACAAGGUCGUGGGGGUGUACGUGUGCAACGCGCGAGCCUCGGCCACGCUGCUCUACUCCCACGGCAACGUCGUGGACCUCGGGCAGAUGUACGGCCUCUUUGUCGAGCUCCGCCGCCGGCUGCGCGUCAACAUCUUCGGGUAAUGCUCACUCCAGCUCGCUCGCCUGUUGUUAGGACUACUUUUCCACUUCUCUAAGUUGCAUAAAUGGACAUGAAUGUAUCUCGUGUCCCAUAUCAAUUUUGUUACAUAGCAUGAUGCAGAGACAUUGGACUCAUCCUCUGUAUUACCUCCUCUUGGCACCUAUUUAGUGGUUAAUCAUCUCAAAUUUGAUUGCCGUUUAUCCUGACUUCUCAGUUCUCUAGAUGGUGUUAUCCAGAAUGAGUUGGCUACAAGGAACCUACAUUAUAUCAAUGGUGUUCGUCUAAUCAAUUGCAAGCAUCAGGUCCCUGCAUUUGUAUUGCAAGUAUCAGAAGCCUGUAGGUUUUCUUGUGAGAGUGAUGGUAAUUAGUUGCAAAUUGUUUAGCUGAUGUUUGUGAUUGAUUAUGCCAAUUAAGGACUCCUGUUGUGCAUUUUAUGUACUGUUGGCGAGCUUGCAAGCAUAUGAAGUUAGGCGCCAGGUCUGAAGUUUGGCUACUUUAAAGUUAAUUUGUUGCUCUUGUAUCGGAUAUUUCUUUUACACUAUGAUGCAGCAAGGCCUGACCAUGCGGUAUACUGUUGAGACUUGAGAGAGGCCUUAUUAAUUAUUUCUCGUUAUCAUGGAUUAAUGUUUGCAACAUUGCGUUCAUUUGUUCCGUCACUUGUUUUUCAGUCGUGUGGUACUAUCAUAUGCACUUCCAUGAUUAGUGCCAUGGGCUGCAACUGUACAAUUACAGGAAACUAUAUAUAGACCAUUUCAUGGAGUAUUUCUCAAGCUAAAUAUGUAUAGGAGAAAACUUAUGCCAUAUUGACAUGUAUAUUAUAUUUUGUGUCAUCCUGCUCUCUGCAUAUGGUGGAUCAUCUACUAAUUGUAGCCUCACUGGAAAUUACAGAUCAAUAAUUAAAACCUUCUUCCUCCUUUGGUUUUGUUUCAAUAGAGUAGGAAUUAGUCAUGAAAACUUAGCAGCCUGUUAUUAUAUUGUUUGUCCCUUUUCACUGUUAAAUUUCCAUCCCGCAAACUGUUAUUUUUCUUUAUAGUUGCAACAACCACGUCUAUUUGCUGCUCUUUGGGUACGCUGUUCGCUAUCAUUCUUUUAGUUACUAUGCUUCAUUAAUACAAUCUAACCAUAUUUCAUUUGUCUAUUAUUAGGUUUGUGAUUUCAGUCUAUCAAGAAUGAAGAACAAUACCUUCCUGUCGUCAAGAUCAACAGGUGGAACAAUAAGCUUGCAUAAUCCCUCAAUUUUUUAUUUCUUAACUUUUCUUGCGUUAUAGUGUCUGUUUCAGGAAAACAUGGUUUUGGUGGAUGCUUCUGAUGGACUAAACCGGUAUACUAUAUAUUGGAUAGCACCAUAGUACAUGACAUGGGAGUUACUAAUUUGUUUUUAAGAAAUUCUCAGGUUCUGCAGUGCCAAUGGUUCGUGUAAUCAACAAGUCGGCUGCAAACCAUUUGUUUCAGGAUAACAGUUUGAAAAUUUUAGUGGGGUUUUCAGAAAACUUGUAAACGCAUGUGCAGCCAGUGGUAAAGGCAUUUCUGAUUUAGAUGAGAGCGGGCAAUAUAGAGGUCAGAGGCCUUGAGCCAAUGCCUCAAACAAAACGACGGUAGAAUGUAGACUAGGUACAGGCAUGCCAUCAACAGAACCCCGGUAAUUCUGCUCUGAGAAUUACUGUUGCUCCAAAUGUAACAUCAAAGGUUGUUGACUCUUUUCCAAUUCAAUUAUAUUAUCCAGAGGCAAUUGGGACAACUCCUGGACGCAAUAAGCAUUUAAAAGACUAGAGUCCUCAAAUCAAUGAGCAUUAUAUUAUCCAGAGGCAAUUGGGACAACCCCUGGACGCAAUAAGCAUUUAAAAGACUAGAGUCCUCAAAUCAAUGAGCAUUGGCAAUGGACUUUUGGACUAUUGACUUGAGAGACGCUGCAUUGGCUCUAGCAAUGAUCAAUGGGGAAGACAUAUCUGAAGAUGUUCUGAGUAGCAUAUCCAGCAAGUUCUGCAUAGGAAAAUGAUACCGUGUCAUGUGGAUUCUUGUAGUACUCUUCACAUGGGAUGAUCUGCACAAUCGAAACCACUUAAUGUUGCAUUUUUCACUUAAUUUUCAUUAUUCAUUUGUAACGAAUGAAAAUAUUGAACUUUUCUAUCUAUGACGAUGGCCUGAUCUUGGCCAAAUAUAUUUAAGUAA